GACGAACGCUGGCGGCGUGCUUAACACAUGCAAGUCGAGCGGUAAGGCUCCUUCGGGAGUACACGAGCGGCGAACGGGUGAGUAACACGUGAGCAAUCUGCCCUUCACAUCGGGAUAACU
rnacentral:rRNA from 1 species